UUCUGAAUGUUGACCUCGGAUCAGGUAGGAAUACCCGCUGAACUUAAGCAUAUCAAUAAGCGGAGG
rnacentral:rRNA from 1 species